ensembl:lncRNA
UAAGAUGUACAUUAACACUUUUAUUGCAAUAGCUCUAUUGAAAGCAAAAAAGUUGGAUAAAUAUAAACACUAUGCUCCAAAUUCCUCCACUAGGACUUCACUCAAUCUCCCCUGAAGUGAGAGAGAAAAAAAAGGAGGCGCAAUUAACAUGAAAAAAAUACUAUCAUAUUUAAAUAAUUUCUCUUUUUUGUUUUAACACCUUUUUCCCCCCUUAAGGACAUACGUUGCAGAGAAAUAUAAUGCACAUAUGAGGAUUAACACCUCCACCGUAUGAAGAACUGUCUGUUCCAUAAAAGCUAAAUGACAAUGCCAUUAAAUUCUGAAAGAAAACACAGGUAGCAAUGAAAAUGACAUCGUCAUGGUUGCCAUCAGAUCAACAGCAUUCAAACUGGUUAUUUUGUAAUACUACACAGCAGCAAAUAAAAUAGUAAGUUACAAAAACAUCAGGCAGAGGUAAUUUUUUAUUUUUCUGUUUUUUUUUUACAAAACUGCUAAGUGUCUACAUCGUCAUACUCUUGAAAACAAGUUUAUCCCACUGUCUCCGUUUAGCUUAAAAAUGAUUUUAAACCCCGUCUUUAAGUGUUCAAUCAAAAGUAUCAACACAACACCCAAAAAACUAUGGAGAUUUAACUUCUGCUCUUUCUAUGAAGUAGAUAAACAAAAAUAAAAAUACUGUUGCACAUUUAUGCAGUACCGUGUAGUUCCUCUGUAAUAUAUUAUGUAGUUCUUAGAAUUUCCCCCAUUAUUUCCUAAAAAGGGUUUGUAAUUGUUUACUCAACUCUACAGCUGUUCCAACAUCCACACUAGCAUACUACUUAGUAUGCACACUAGUAGCACACUACUGAGAAUGCAUGUCCAAUACAUCGAGAGUAAGAAGUGUGGGACCGGACCAUAUUGGCCUAGAAUAUAUCAACAGAACAAAGUAGAAUCAUCAUCCACCAAAUAGUACAGAACUGAACAAGGCUGAUAUGAGUAUUGAUAAUCAAGCCUAUUUUUUAUUUAUUUAAUUAAGUAAGACUUCUUAAAUCACAGAAAGUCUUGCCAAAUAAAGCUUUUGUAUUGUUCAAAUCUAAUAGCUGAAAAGCGCUGCAGCGUAACCCAAAAAAAUAAAUAAAUCAUAGUACAGCCUUUAAAACGUGUUCCAACCACAGAAUUAGAAUGAGGAUUCUAGUUCGAUGGUUUCAGCCUUGGGUAGGUAUAGUAACGGUUCAUUUUCCAUAACUUACAGUAACAGCAGGCUCUGUGCACCGCAACAGUACCAUAUAAGACAUUGGUUGUACCAAAUGGGAUCUGACGGGUUGUUGAAAGUUCUUUUUUUCUUUUCUUGCUCGGGUGGGUGUCAACCUUUUCCACAGUCCAUUAUUCUGCACCAACAAAUAUAUCAUAAUCAUCUUCAUACAUUAGUUAACACACGACGAGACGUACCAUGAUAC